UUUUUUUGACAUUAAAGGCCAAAAACACACAGACGUCAAAAGCCUUUUUUACAUUAGUGAGAAGAGAAGAAAAUGAAAAUGAGGAGAAGAAGGAUGAGGAAGUCAGAGUCGAUGACAAUAACAAAGGUGCAAUGAUCAUUUGGUGGUGAUGCUAAAAUGUAGUGGUAAUGCAGAGACAUGACGAUGGAGACUGUUGGAGUUAAAGGAGGUGUAGGAGUAAGAGGGGAGUUAGAAAAGGUGUAGGAGUAAAAGGAAGAGGAAGAGAAAUAAGAAGAUGAGGAGGCAUAAGAGGAGAAGAAAGAGAUUAAGUCAGAGGUGACAUUGGUUGAUGUGAUCAUUGAAGCACAGUGAGGAGAUGAGGAGGAAGAAUGAUAGACUAGGCCCAAGCCCAAUUAUCUUAGUGUAGUAUUUCUUUUAUUUUUAUUAAAGCAUGUGUAAAAGGUGUUAGGCAUGUGGUAGAUAGGAGGGACUUUUAGUCCUAUAUAUAGACAUGCCACCACCUCUUGUAAAUCACUUUUGAUCAUAUUGAAUUGUUAUUCUGUUGAGAAAACUCCAGAACAAUUCUACCUUGAAAGUCAAGGCUAGAGAAUCCUAAAGGAUCUCCUCUAGUUGCCUUCCAUCUCACACUUCCAUUUCUCUCAUUUCCCAUCAACAUUCUCACUCCUCCACCUAAACACCAUACGCCACUCUUGCCAAUCCGCUUCAGCCUCGUGGACGACUUAAGCCCUCACUACCACACGUGCCUUUUCUCUCUGGAGAGUCCAUCAACAUAUCCUUACAUCUUCACAUCUCGCUGCCACACUCGUAAGUCACAUCUCCAUUCCCUAUUUCCACGCUCAAAACCUAUUUCCAUUCUCUCUCCUCGAUGAUCUCCAUUGUUGACCUCGCCCUCACAAAUAUCAACUCCAUCACGAAUCCAAGUCUAGGACAACCUCUUCCAUCAGGUUUGUAAUCAAUCCACCGAUUGAUUUCGAUCUUGCACCUCAUUCUUUCUUAGAUCAUCUUUCCCUUAUCUUUACCCGAUUAGAACCACAUUUACGUUCUAUUUCACUGAUUGAAAUAUGGUUUUAGCCAUUUCCACCGAUUAAACCACCAUACAACACCUGAUCUUGAAUCUCCACUGAACAAUCCUCGAAUCUAGGGCUUGUUCAUUAUUGUUCCUCUUCGGCUACAAAACCUAGGGUUCCUCGUUUUAGUUGCUUCUUCCGCUGCUUCUCGAUUUAUUAGCUUGGUUCGCGCCAGGUUCUAUGAUUCCUUG
rnacentral:lncRNA from 1 species